UUCGAUUCUGGCUCAGGAUGAACGCUAGCGACAGGCUUAACACAUGCAAGUCGAGGGGCAGCAUAGAAGUAGCAAUACUUGGUGGCGACCGGCGCACGGGUGAGUAACGCGUAUGCAACCUACCUAUCAGAGGGGAAUAACCCGGCGAAAGUCGGACUAAUACCGCAUAAAACAGGGGCACCGCAUGGUGAUAUUUGUUAAAGAAAUUCGCUGAUAGAUGGGCAUGCGUUCCAUUAGGUAGUUGGUGAGGUAACGGCUCACCAAGCCGACGAUGGAUAGGGGAACUGAGAGGUUGGUCCCCCACACUGGUACUGAGACACGGACCAGACUCCUACGGGAGGCAGCAGUGAGGAAUAUUGGUCAAUGGGCGGGAGCCUGAACCAGCCAAGUCGCGUGAAGGAAAAGAAGGAUCUAUGGUUCGUAAACUUCUUUUGCAGGGGAAUAAAGUGCAGGACGUGUCCUGUUUUGCAUGUACCCUGAGAAUAAGGAUCGGCUAACUCCGUGCCAGCAGCCGC
rnacentral:rRNA from 1 species